UGGAGUUUGAUCCUGGCUCAGGACGAACGCUGGCGGCGUGCUUAACACAUGCAAGUGGAGCGACGAACCGGGGCUUGCCCCGGGGCAGAGCCGCGAACGGGUGAGUAACACGUGGGUAACCCACCCCGAUGACCGGGACAACCCGAGGAAACUCGGGCUAAUACCGGAUGUGGUCGCCUUUCAUAAGGGAGACGACUAAAGAUAGCUUCGGCCUACGCAUCGGGACGGGCCCGCGGCCCAUUAGCUUGUUGGUGGGGUAACGGCCUACCAAGGCUCCGAUGGGUAGCUGGUCUGAGAGGACGAUCAGCCACACUGGGACUGAGACACGGCCCAGACUCCUACGGGAGGCAGCAGUGGGGAAUCUUGCGCAAUGCGCGAAAGCGUGACGCAGCAACGCCGCGUGGGGGAAGAAGGCCUUCGGGUUGUAAACCCCUUUCAGUUGGGACGAAGCUUCGUCGGUUAAUAGCCGGCCGGAGUGACGGUACCUUCAGAAGAAGCCCCGGCUAACUACGUGCCAGCAGCCGCGGUAAUACGUAGGGGGCUAGCGUUGUCCGGAAUCAUUGGGCGUAAAGCGCGUGUAGGCGGUCCGGUAAGUCCGCUGUGAAAGUCGGGGGCUCAACCCUCGGAUGCCGGUGGAUACUGUCGGGCUUGAGUACGGAAGAGGCGAGUGGAAUUCCUGGUGUAGCGGUGAAAUGCGCAGAUAUCAGGAGGAACACCAAUUGCGAAGGCAGCUCGCUGGGACGUUACUGACGCUGAGACGCGAAAGCGUGGGGAGCAAACAGGAUUAGAUACCCUGGUAGUCCACGCUGUAAACGAUGGGCACUAGGUGUGGGGGGUGUCGACUCCCUCCGUGCCGAAGCUAACGCAUUAAGUGCCCCGCCUGGGGAGUACGGCCGCAAGGCUAAA
rnacentral:rRNA from 1 species